GGGUUAUUUUCCACUUGGUAGCAGCAUUACAACAGUUACAUGGCUGAAUUACAUAUAUUAUGCUCAACAUGAUUGCUAUCCUGUUCAAGAGUUCUGCUCUUCUCAAAUCCCUUCAUUUCAUUUUAUCAUUUAGCACAAACAUACAAAAGGAUAAAGCACAUUGUAGUUCUGUAUAUUCUAUAUGCCUUCUGUUUCUUUUGACAGGGUGAAUGUCACUUCUGGCGAG
rnacentral:misc_RNA from 1 species